AAAAAAAACUAACCCUCUUUGCAACUGCACUUGUUGUUCUGUAUAUCUCCUGUGCACUUUAUUUGCUUGUGAUGUUGGCUUGAUUAUGUCCUCUUUUGAAAGUCGCUUUGGUUAUAAAGCGUCUGCCAAAUGCAAUGUAAUGUAAUGUAAUGUUAUCACUACCACAGCAACGGUUAGUAAUGUGUCAAACAUAGCCUAUACCUCUACUAGUGGUAUGACACUGUCUAAUGUUGCAUGUGAAGUGAAAUGCCUUGCCAUUAGCCUAUAUAUUCCUGGGAACAUUGUGUGUGCCUCAUUUGACUUAUCUGUAGCUUAUUAUGUUAUAGAGGUGCCAUUCCAGUGAGAUUUCCACAAAGAAAAGUGUCAAGAUAAAAACAGAUGCACCAUGGACCCUUUCCACCUCAACACCAAUCCAACAAAGGCCGGGUAAAACUUCCAGGUUAGAGGAGGAAGAGGAUGGCAUCACAACACCAGCUGACCCCUUGAUAUCUGGCAUUUGGAGAAAGAGCACAUCACAGUCGUCUGUGUGACACCCCCUCGCUGCACGCCAGCACCCAAACCAAGCCACCUCCACCACCGGUCAGAUCAUAUCGCUGAAGAUGUGUACAGUACGCUCCUGCCUGCAUCCUACCACCACAAGUUCACCCCAGAGGAUCUGCUGUCGACAACCAUUGUGAUAUCGUUGCAAUUAUGAAACACACUUAAUAAAUGCUAAUACAUCAC